rnacentral:rRNA from 1 species
AUUGAACGCUGGCGGCAUGCUUUACACAUGCAAGUCGAACGGUAACAGGCCUUCGGGUGCUGACGAGUGGCGAACGGGUGAGUAAUGCAUCGGAACGUACCCAGAGGUGGGGGAUAACGCAGCGAAAGCUGUGCUAAUACCGCAUGUGAUCUGAGGAUGAAAGCGGGGGACCGAGCAGCAAUGUUUGGCCUCGCGCCUUUGGAGCGGCCGAUGUCGGAUUAGCUAGUUGGUGGGGUAAAGGCCUACCAAGGCGACGAUCCGUAGCUGGUCUGAGAGGACGGCCAGCCACACUGGGACUGAGACACGGCCCAGACUCCUGCGGGAGGCAGCAGUGGGGAAUUUUGGACAAUGGGCGCAAGCCUGAUCCAGCAAUGCCGCGUGCGGGAAGAAGGCCUUCGGGUUGUAAACCGCUUUUGGCAGGAACGAAACGGUGUCCGCUAAUACCGGGCGCUAAUGACGGUACCUGCAGAAUAAGCACCGGCUAACUACGUG